AUUGAACGCUGGCGGCAGGCCUAACACAUGCAAGUCGAGCGAGCGGCGGACGGGUGAGUAAUGUCUGGGAACCUGCCUGAUGGAGGGGGAUAAAUACUGGAAACGGUAGCUAAUACCGCAAUCACUCAGAUGUGCCCAGAUGGGAAUAGCUAGUAGUGGGGGUAACGGCUCCCCUAGGCGACGAUCCCUAGCUGGUCGAAGAGGAUGACCAGCCACACUGGAACUGCGACACGGUCCAGACUCCUACGGGAGGCAGCAGGGGGGAAUAUGUCACAAUGGGCGCAAGCCUGACGCAGCAAUGCCGCGUGUGUGAAGAAGGCCUUCGGGGUGGAAAUCACUUUGAGCGGGGAGGCGUUACCCGCAGAAGAAGCACCGGCUAACUCCGUGCCAGCAGCCGCGGUAAUUC
rnacentral:rRNA from 1 species